GGAUAAGCGGCGGAAACGCCGUCUAAUACCGCGUGACAACCCGAGGGGGCAUCCCCUUGGGUUCAAAGGAGAGAUCCGGUACCGGCUGGGCAUGCGGCGCAUUAGCUAGUUGGCGGGGCAACGGCCCACCAAGGCGACGAUGCGUAGGGGUUCUGAGAGGAAGGUCCCCCACACUGGAACUGAGACACGGUCCAGACUCCUACGGGAGGCAGCAGUGAGGAAUAUUGGUCAAUGGGCGCAAGCCUGAACCAGCCAAGUCGCGUGAGGGAAGACGGCCCUACGGGUUGUAAACCUCUUUUGCCGGGGAGCAAGCCUGAGCACGUGUGCCCAGGCGGAGAGUACCCGGAGAAAAAGCAUCGGCUAACUCCGUGCCAGCAGCCGCGGUAAUACGGAGGAUGCGAGCGUUAUCCGGAUUUAUUGGGUUUAAAGGGUGCGCAGGCGGGCUGUUAAGCCGGCGGUAAAAAUUCAGGGCUCAACCCUGUCGAGCCGUCGGAACUGGCAGUCUUGAGUGGGCGAGAAGUAUGCGGAAUGCGUGGUGUAGCGGUGAAAUGCAUAGAUAUCACGCAGAACGCCGAUUGCGAAGGCAGCAUACCGGCGCCCAACUGACGCUGAGGCACGAAAGCGUGGGGAUCGAACAGGAUUAGAUACCCUGGUAGUCCACGCAGUAAACGAUGAGCGCUAACUGUCCGGAGCGAGCGAGCUCUGGGU
rnacentral:rRNA from 1 species